ACAUACACAAAAUGAGUCUUGGUUAUAGAAGAUUUUUACUGAGGUGGCUCAAAGAGAACUCAAUCAGUUUGCAUCAGUUCUAAAGGCAGUGACCAGGGUUCUAUAAAAUGAGGUAGCAUUUAGGAGCUGUCAGCUGUAUAAUUUUGGCAUUGCAUUUGGUGUACUGUAGUAGCACCACAUGGGUGUAUGUUGUCUGUCUUAAACAAAAACAAAACAAAAGCUGCAAUUGCUACCAACGCAAGGCAUCCCUCUGGCCCUACCAGAACCAUGUGGAAAGCAGUUUUAUGGCUUUGAAAGCCAGACUCCUGGGAUCUUUUUCAGUCUGUCUUAUAUUUCCAAUGGGUUUCUGUAGCACAAACUGGUUUCUCAGGGAGCUGAGCAGUCCAAAUCACACUAUUAUUUUUAAAUGAUUGUUUGCUGGAAAGGUCCCUGACCCAUGGAUGACUGAGCGUGCCAACUUCAAGGCAAGAGUAUCUUUUCUAUUCCCACCCAAUAAGCUGCUGCAGGAAAGGUAUGCAGUGAUAGACUUGGAUUAUGUGUCCAGUCCUUUUUUAGGGGCUUUCCGGAUGCCUUUCCUGAGAUUAUAAUACAGCAAGUAACCAAGAUAUUAAGAAAAUUACAUUUCCCUUCAGGAAAUUAUUGCCAUUAGUCCUAUUAGCAAUCAAGUUUUGUUUUCCCAUCACAUUAUAAGCAUCUUAAGAAACAAAAAUAAUAUUUUGGUUUUAAAAUUCCUUGCUCGUUCUUAGGAGUCCUAUCUCAAAUUCUUACUUGGAUUUCUCCCCAGAAGCUGUGUCACUGUCUUGUUUUUGUUUGCUUUAUAAAGUGAAGAGGGUCCAUUCUGCAUCCAACCAAUGGUUUUUUCGAAAUGAUUUUAGCUUAAAGCAGCAAACGUUCACUGCAGAUGAAGUAUCAGAGUCAUAUCAAUCUCCAUUGUUUCAUAAAAUGCAUAACAGCACUGAAAUGCAACUCCUAGAGAAAGAUAAUUGUACUCAAGUCCCACUGAAAUUAUGAUUUUAAGUGUAAAAAAAGUAUCUGCGUUUGAGUCUGCAAGUUUACUGAUCUGUAAUGGAUUGCAAACAAAUCCACAGCAUAUACUGCUUUAGCACCAUUACAGACUAGGGCAUUUUGCUUUCCUAUAUACCAGAAAGACAACACUGCUAUGUUUUUAAACAAACCUUUUUUUAAAAAAAAAUUGCUCUAAUUUUAAAAAAGGGAAUUAACAAAUGUUUAACAUCUUUUCCUGUUAGUAUCUGUUUUAAAAAUGUGUUUUCUUUUUUCCUAUCUCUUACUGGUCCUGCUGGAAGCAUAGUUUUCUCCAUCUCUCCUUUCUACUUCACUGUUUGGUUGUUUAAACCAACUAAAACCUUAUUGGUAACUCUAAUAAAACCGGCUACGGUAUGGUGCCAUUUCUCCUGGUGACAUGAGGAUGUCCCUAAACAGUCAUUGAAUAGGAAAAAAGGCAGGUGUUCUGUUCUGGUGGAGUUCAGCACUUGAAAUUUGCGUGGUAGUUUCCUGCUGGUUAUUCUGUCAACUUUAAAGGAAACUAAAACUCAGUCAACACAACCAAUCCUUACCUGUAAAUUGUUGUACAUCUGUCUACAGAGUGAAAGUGGCUGAGCACUUUUCCAUACCCAGAUUUUGUUAGUUUAGGAUGGUGUGAGAUGAAGGGAUAAAAUCAUACUAAACAUGCACAGAAUAGCAAUUUGGCUGCAUGACAUAAUGCUUAUACAACAGUUUGCUGUAUACCAAGUGUUUUGCAUUUCUAUACCAAAUCUUAGGCUUAAACUCUGCUUACAUGAAUCAAAUUGGCAUAACAGGGAGCGAGUUCUUCAAGACUGCACGUCAUCAUUCUCAUUUAGUCUUAAACUCAUCCAUAAAAAACUAGAAAGAAAGUCUGCCCUGGGGGUGGGCUCUCAGUAUGGGGUUCCCCCCCCAGAUGAUGAUGGUGAUUUGCAGUGCUAGGAAGAGAGACCAAAUUGGUAGCCUUGACCUUUUGCUCCUGAGAAAAUUUAUCUGCCUCCACUGAUAAAACUGACCCAGUCCUUCAUACAUUCUUGCUACAAAUGCAAGAAAGGGCAAACUACUCAGCAUAGGUUUUUGUUUGGUUUUUUUAAUUGUGAAAUGGUACCAGGCACACAUUUUAUGUAGUUAUCAUUUCAGUUUUGCUAUGACCAUACAGGAAAGACUUUUCAUCUAAAAGAGACAUGGCUUUGGUCCAUAAAGGCCCCUCCUUAGUAGGCAGCAGCAGUAGAAGCCACUAUGUUAGGUCCUCCAAAGAUAGAAUUUCAGAAUAAGGAGAAUGAUGGCCAUGUAGUAUUCAAAAUAUGUUCCAAGUUUUGUAGAGUUCCAUACUGUAUUUUAAGUUCACUUUUGCGUUCUCCUAAAACCUAUGUCAGGGACAAGGUAGUCACCAACCACAAUCCUAACCAUAUCUACUCAGAUGUUAGUCCUGUUAGAUUCAGUGGGACUUAUUCCCAGAUAAAUGAUGUUAGGAUUACGGCCUUAGUUUAUCUCUGCCAGAAUUCAUUGUAACCUUUCCCCCAUUUUCUCUUGUGGCUGUGUCAUGUGGUGAGCAUUCCAUAAUUUCCUCAAGCAACCCUUUUAUUGGCUUAACUAAUUCUUCCUCUUCUCACUACAUCUUUGCUCAGUUACUCUUGUUUAUCAUCAAAUUGCCCACUAAUCAUAGAACUUUGCUGAAGAUGCCUGACAAUGUUGUGUCAUGUGUCUGCUGUGGUUUGGAAACUUGAACUUCUACAGGUGGAUGUUCAAGCAAUUUCCUGUUUUGCAAUCCUGUAGAUCUGUAGACUAUUUUUAGUUUUAUAUCUGUUGGAACAUCAAGAUAACUGCAUCUACCUCAGUAUUAAGUGGCUAUCAUUUUGUUUUUGAACAUAGCCAUUUGAUGUUCAUUUCCAUGCUCUAAACUAAAUUGGCUCUUUUCUAAAGUUCUAUUCCAUGCUGAACUAAAACCUCUGUUGUAUUGUUCCAAGCUGUUUGCACUAGCCCAAACUCUGUAGUACCUAGAUUAGGUUAUGCUAAGGAUACUCUUAUAAAAGAAAAAGAAGUGACUUCUAAGUCCUCUUUGGUAUUUGACACUGAAGUGGUAAUUUUUUUGCUUCAUCAGAAAGAAAG